rnacentral:rRNA from 1 species
AACGAACGCUGGCGGCAGGCUUAACACAUGCAAGUCGAACGCCCCGCAAGGGGAGUGGCAGACGGGUGAGUAACACGUGGGAACGUACCUUUUGGUUCGGAACACCUGAGGGAAACUUGGGACAAUACCGGAUACGUGCGAAAGCAGAAAGAUUUAUCGCCGAGAGAUCGGCCCGCGACCGAUUAGCUAGUUGGUGAGGUAACGGCUCACCAAGGCGACGAUCGGUAGCUGGUCUGAGAGGAUGAUCAGCCACACUGGGACUGAGACACGGCCCAGACUCCUACGGGAGGCAGCAGUGGGGAAUAUUGGACAAUGGGCGCAAGCCUGAUCCAGCCAUGCCGCGUGAGUGAUGAAGGCCCUAGGGUUGUAAAGCUCUUUCGCCAGGGACGAUAAUGACGGUACCUGGAGAAGAAGCCCCGGCUAACUUCGUGCCAGCCGCCGCCGUAA